GAUGAACGCUGGCGGCGUGCCUAAUACAUGCAAGUCGAACGCAGUGGGGACGGGUGAGUAACACGUGGGUAACCUCCCAUCAGAGGGGAUAACACUUGGAAACUGGUGCUAAACCGUUACUGAUGGAUUGACCUUCUGUGCAUUAGCUAGUGGGUUAGGUAAAGGCUCACCAAGGCCACGAUGCAUAGCCGACCGGAGAGGGGGAUCAGCCACACUGGGACUGAGACACGGCCCAGACUCCUACGCGAGGCAGCAGUAGGGAAUGGUCGGCAAUGGACGAAAGGCUGACCGAGCAACGCCGCGUGAGUGAAGAAGGUUUUCGGAUCGUAAACCUCUGUUGUUAGAGAAGCGGUAUCUAACCAGAAAGCCACGGCUAACUACGUGCCAGCAGCCGCGGUAAUUC
rnacentral:rRNA from 1 species